UUCUAAUUCUAGUUCUCUUGCUAUUUCUAACACAUCUGCAGUGACUCUCUCUGCUGAAAUUGUAAACCCCUCAAAUUUGUAUAUAAAGUGUUUGAAUCAAUGUC